GAUGAACGCUGGCGGCGUGCCUAAUACAUGCAAGUCGAGCGAACAGAUGAGGAGCUUGCUCCUCUGACGUUAGCGGCGGACGGGUGAGUAACACGUGGAUAACCUACCUAUAAGACUGGGAUAACUUCGGGAAACCGGAGCUAAUACCGUAUAAUAUAUUGAACCGCAUGGUUCAAUGGUGAAAGACGGUUUUGCUGUCACUUAUAGCUGGAUCCGCGCCGCAUUAGCUAGUUGGUAAGGUAACGGCUUACCAAGGCGACGAUGCGUAGCCGACCUGAGAGGGUGAUCGGCUACACUGGAACUGAGACACGGUCCAGACUCCUACGGGAGGCAGCAGUAGGGAAUCUUCCGCAAUGGGCGAAAGCUUGACGGAGCAACGCCGCGUGAGUGAUGAAGGUCUUCGGAUCGUAAAACUCUGUUAUUAGGGAAGAACAAAUGUGUAAGUAACUAUGCACGUCUUGACGGUACCUAAUCAGAAAGCCACGGCUAACUACGUG
rnacentral:rRNA from 1 species